ensembl:lncRNA
GAUCUGCAAAGGGAAAGGACUGAUGCAUGUGGACUGCUUGCCAGGAGGCUGCAGUUCCUUUCAUACACUCACUUUAAACACCUUCCUUUCCUCUGCUUCAGACCCAAGCAAGUGGCCCUUGCCCUGCAGGGAACAGCUCCAAGACCCCUGGUAGGUCCUGGAGCCUGGGAUAGCACUUACUGUGUGCUUUUUGAUAUGCACAUGGAUCUGUGAUUAUGUUACUUUAUAAACUGAGCACAGUAAGAUAUUAACCAAUACAACUGAAACAAAGUUUUCUACUAACAUGCUGUUAGUAGAAGUUCUGUGAAUAUGGCCUCUCUCUCUCUCUCUCUCUCUCUCUCUCUCUCUCUCUCUCUCUGUGUAUAUAUUGUGUUAUACUUCACCCACACUCUGUAGCUUCUUUUUGGCAAAUCAGAACUGCCAGCAUCUCCACUCUUGGCCUUUGGGGCAACUGUUAAGUACAGUAUAGGACACUUGGACACAAGCACCCAGCACUGUGCCAGCCGACCUGAUCCCCCGGGCUGCUUCCAGGCGACCAGCGAAGGGCUCCACAUGGCAGACAAAGGAACAUUCACACUGCGGACAGGCUGGGGCAGGCACCGUAAGAUUUUAUCACUCUACUCAGAAUGGAUGGCAAAACCUGAGUUAUUUAUUGUUGGAAUCUUCAGUGUGAUAGUUUGUAUCGGGCCACAGCUGACCUGGUGACUGGAAACCUGUGCCCGAGGCGGGAGGGCUGUCUGUACCGAUACGAUGGAGCGAAGCCACUGCAGGACUGGGCAGAGGCACAGCCGAGCCAUGCACACUUAAGGGUUUCCCCUGAAAGCAGCCAAAUUUUAAUUAGGCCUUGCAGAUGAUGCUAUGUAACAGGUACUCUAAUUCCGCAUGUGGGAAGAAGAGGUCCUGUGGUGGAGACUGUGCUGAGGUCCUGCAUGCCUCAGUCCCCGCUGCCCUGUCAGUGUCUCACACGGCGCGGUGCCCAGAGGGACAGCCCUCUGCAGUGCCUGUCAGUCGAGACGUGAAAGGCUCUGCUCUUGAGACUGUUUGCCUUCUGACAUUUGACCUUAGCUAAAUCACAGAACCAGCCCUGCUCCAUUUGCUCAUCAGUGAAAGAAAGCUGAUCCUCGAUCCCUUCUCAGCUCCAGAGACGUUGUUGGAGUUCCUUGGGUCAGGGUGACAUUGAAGAACGCUUUCAGUGUCUUUCAAACAGAUACUGUCUAAGCAAAAGUCUGCAACCGGUGUAUCACUGCUAUGGACUUUUUGUGCCUAUGGGAGGAAUCCAUGUAAAGUCUCCAUUAUCUCUUUAGUUCUUGAAAACCACACACAUAACAAUAAGGAAAAACAGGUGUAGAAUGUACAAAGAGAAAUAAUUGCUCCUUGUUGCAGUCCAUUAAUUAAUUUCUAGUCCUCCCGCAGGAACUUGAAAAGCAUUUGCUUCAUUUCAAAGCUUUAGCUAGUUCCCAUCACCACUCUGGGUUGGCGUCUGAGAGCCUGCCAUGUAAAUACUUCAGUCGUGAGUCCCCAUCUGAGCCAGUAAGCAAUGGUCCCUCACAGCACAGCUAUGCAUGGCACCUAAUUAACGAUGCCUUCAGUCCCUUUCCCUGUUGCUAUGACAUAAAGGCGCAGGCCUAUACAGAAGGGAUCGUCGCUUAGAAAAAAAGGCAAAGCAAAUAAAACGCAUCAGAACUCGUCUGGAAAGUCCUCGACAGACUCCCUACCCUCCAGUUCACCUUGCGAGGUGAAGCACGUAACGUCUGUUCUCACUGCCCCUGGUGUGUGUUUCUUAAGAUUUCCAGUUCUUCACUUCUGCUUUACUGGCCUGGAAGAUUUUGAGCAAAUGCAACCUACAGAAAUCCCAAGAAGUGUCAUCAGGGACAGAAGACCAUUCUUUGCCACUAGAUGAGAGCCACACAACUAAGUCACCUCUCCAGCUGAAAAGCCCGUGCCUGCUCCUUCCUCGGGCAAGCCCAGCUUUGGUGCAGGGUCCUCAAAGGCUGACACUUGUGGGAAGGAGCCAGGAAGGCCAUCGAGGUCCUGUGGACAGGCAGGCGCCAGGUUUGUGUGUUCCUGCCUGCGGGUCAGCAUAUCCUAUAAUGUUUUCAGGAAUCAUAUUUUGCUGCUCCUCCUGUCUUGUAGCAUUUCUAAUUAAAGUACCUGCUUGUCUGAACAGGUUUUCUGAGCCUUCGAAAGACACUUUUGUGUUUAUUUUCCUUCAUUUGUAUUUUUAGUGCCAUUUUUGAUCUUGCCUUCAGCGAAGUAGGAAUACAGGAUGCUUGGGCACAGGGCUGCUAAAGGGCCUGCGGAGUGUCUGGCUACUGCAGGGAUGGGGGACAGCUGCUGAAGGGAGGG